AGGAAGAACACCAGCGGCGAAGGCGGCUUCCUGGACAGUAACUGACGCUGAGGCACGAAAGCGUGGGGAACGAACAGGAUCAGAUACCCUGGUAGUCCACGCCGUAAACGAUGGAUACUAGGUGUAGGAGGUAUCGACCCCUUCUGUGCCGGAGCUAACACAAUAAGUAUCCCACCUGGGGAGUAACGACCGCAAGGGUUGAAACUCAAAGGUAUUGACGGGGGCCCGAACAAGCAGUGGAGUAUGUGGUUUAAUUCGAAGCAACGCGAAGAACCUUACCAGGGCUUGACAUCCUCUGACCGCUCUAGAGAUAGAGCUUUCCUUCGGGUCAGAGAGACAGAUGGUGCAUGGUUGUCGUCAGCUCGUGUCGUGAGAUCUUGGAUUAAGUCCUGCUACAGAGCGCAACCCCUGUUGUUAGUUGCCAGCAAGUGAACGUUGGGCACUCAAACGAGACUCGCCGAUGAUUAUGCGGAGGAUGGUCGGGGAUCACGUCGAAUCAUCAUCGCUCUCUUAUGUCCUGGCCUACAUGCGCAUUGCUAGUGCCUGUUACAGAGGGGAGACUAAACCGGCGAGGUGGAGCAACUCCCANAAGGCAGCCCCAGU
rnacentral:rRNA from 1 species